rnacentral:lncRNA from 13 species
AAAAAGGGUAUUUCUGGCAGAUAAUAAAAAAAUUAAAGUAUCUCAGCAAUAUUCUUGCAGCAGUCUUCAUUAGUCUGAAUACCUUGUCUUGGACCAUUUAAAUUCUCCUUGUGCCUGAUAGACUUAAACUAAUUUUGACUAGCUUAUUAUGAGCAGAUGUUCAUGUCAUAUAUUAGCUAUGAUAAAUUCACUUUGUCUCUCUUUCUCUUCUAUUCUAGAUGAAUUGAAAACAGUAUUGACAAAGUUUAACUUAAGCUUAUAGCAUACAAAUGGCUACAAGCUUGCAUAUUAUAAUUUUUGAAUUAUGUGGUUAAGAGUUAUCACUGGCAUAAUCAUCUCAAGUCAAACCUUGCUCACAGGAGGGAAUAAACCCAUCAGAAGCAACAUCAUUGAAUCAUGAGUAUGUUAAUGUGUGUAUAAUGGCAACGACCUUCUCCACUGAACAACGUAUGAGUAGAUCUUCGCUUAACCAAUAUACCAAUGGACUGGGGACUCAAGAUGGCGCUGUGAGAACAACCCAGGAUUGGAGCCCGCGUUGAAUUCGCAAACGGUGAGUCAGUGCUGCAUUUCCAGACUGAUCUUUGUUGCCCACAGAACGGGGAAACUCCCAAGUAUAAAAAGACACGGGACGCCAGGCAGUAGGUCGGCCUGGCGAAGCCGGCAGCCGGGGCGGCGGAGGCCGGCCCUACCCAGCAAUCCCCACAGGGCGCGCUUGUCCGGCUGCCUUGUUGAACCGGCAACCUGAGACUUGAGAGGGCUGGACUUGAGACUGAACGAGACUUGCACAGUAGCCCAGCCCAGGGGAUUGCAGGGACAGAUCGCUUGGGAUACCCAGUGGGACGAACAAAACCGCGAUUUCAAACUAUCCCGGGCAGA